rnacentral:rRNA from 1 species
GACGAACGCUGGCGGCGUGCUUAACACAUGCAAGUCGAGCGGUAAGGCCCUUUCGGGGGUACACGAGCGGCGAACGGGUGAGUAACACGUGGGUGACCUGCCCUUAGCUCUGGGAUAAGCCUGGGAAACUGGGUCUAAUACCGGAUAUGACUCCAUGACGCAUGUUGUGGGGUGGAAAGCCUUGUGCGGCUAGGGAUGGGCCUGCGGCCUAUCAGCUUGUUGGUGGGGUGANGGCCUACCAAGGCGACGACGGGUAGCCGGCCUGAGAGGGCGACCGGCCACACUGGGACUGAGACACGGCCCAGACUCCUACGGGAGGCAGCAGUGGGGAAUCUUGCGCAAUGGGCGAAAGCCUGACGCAG